rnacentral:rRNA from 1 species
GUCUACGGCCAUACCACCCUGAACACGCCCGAUCUCGUCUGAUCUCGGAAGAAUGAACAUCAUGGGGCCAGGUGGUAGCUCGCCUGCACAUUACAGUGUACAUGGCCCCAGGUUCAGGCCCCUGGUCC